CCUACGGGAGGCAGCAGUGGGGAAUAUUGGACAAUGGGCGAAAGCCUGAUCCAGCCAUGCCGCGUGUGUGAAGAAGGUCUUCGGAUUGUAAAGCACUUUUGGUUGGGAGGAAGGGUUGUACGUUAAUACCGUGCAAUUUUGACGUUACCGACAGAAUAAGCACCGGCUAACUCUGUGCCAGCAGCCGCGGUAAUA
rnacentral:rRNA from 1 species